rnacentral:lncRNA from 1 species
UUGAUAUUGAUAUCGGUGAUGGUGGUGAUUGAGGGGCAGGUACUUCUAUUCUUGGUGAUUGCGGUGAUUGAGGGACAGGCGAUGGUGGUGUUGGUGUUGGAGAGGGUGGUGAUUGAGUCGCAGGUACUUCUAUUUUCGGUGAGGGUGGUGUUGGUGAGGGUGGUGAUUGAGUCACAGGUACUUCUAUUUUCGGUGAUGGUGGUGUCGGUGUCGGUGUCGGUGUCGGUGAUGGAGGUGUUGGUGUCGGCGUAGCAGGAGUUGGUGGAUUUGGAGAGCCUCCUCCACCAGCACAUUUGUCCU